AGUGAACGCUGGCGGUAGGCCUAACACAUGCAAGUCGAACGGCAGCACAGUAAGAGCUUGCCCUUACGGGUGGCGAGUGGCGGACGGGUGACGAAUACAUCGGAAUCUACUUUUUCGUGGGGGAUAACGUAGGGAAACUUACGCUAAUAUCGCAUACCCCCUACGGGUGAAAGCAGGGGAUCUUCGGACCUUGCGCGAUUGAAUGAGCCGAUGUCGGAUUAGCUAGUUGGCGGGGUAAAGGCCCACCAAGGCGACGAUCCGUAGCUGGUCUGAGAGGAUGAUCGGCCACCCUGGAACUGAGACACGGUCCAGACUCCUACGGGAGGCAGCAGUCGGGAAUAUUGGGCAAUGGGCGAAAGCCUGAUCCAGCCAUACCGCGUGGGUGAAGAAGGCCUUCGGGUUGUAAAGCCCUUUUGUUGGGCAAGAAAAGCAGCAGGAUAAUACCCCGCUGUUCUGACGGUACCCAAAGAAUAAGCACCGGCUAACUACGUG
rnacentral:rRNA from 1 species